rnacentral:rRNA from 1 species
GACGAACGCUGGCGGCGUGCCUAAUACAUGCAAGUUGAGCGCUGAAGGUUGGUACUUGUACCAACUGGAUGAGCAGCGAACGGGUGAGUAACGCGUGGGGAAUCUGCCUUUGAGCGGGGGACAACAUUUGGAAACGAAUGCUAAUACCGCAUAAAAACUUUAAACACAAGUUUUAAGUUUGAAAGAUGCAAUUGCAUCACUCAAAGAUGAUCCCGCGUUGUAUUAGCUAGUUGGUGAGGUAAAGGCUCACCAAGGCGAUGAUACAUAGCCGACCUGAGAGGGUGAUCGGCCACAUUGGGACUGAGACACGGCCCAAACGCCUACGGGAGGCAGCAGUAGGGAAUCUUCGGCAAUGGACGAAAGUCUGGCCGAGCAACGCCGCGUGAGUGAAGAAGGUUGUCGGAUCGUAAAACUCUGUUGGUAGAGAAGAACGUUGGUGAGAGUGGAAAGCUCAUCAAGUGACGGUAACUACCCAGAAAGGGACGGCUAACUACGUG